AAUAGGCACCCCCUAAGCAUGUAUUACCUCCGUCCGGAUUUAUAAGGCACGUGUGUGUUCCAAGAUCAUCGAUGUAACUAGCAAAAUAAUUCAAAAGUUCAUUUGACUACAAAUCUAAUGAUGUACUUUUUUGUGUAAUAUAAUACAUAUUUUGUUGGUUAAAUUGAUGAUCUUGGAACACGUGCAUGCCUUAUAUAUCCGUACCGAGGUACUAC